GACAGAGGGGGCAAGCGUUGCUCGGAAUUACUGGGCGUAAAGGGCGCGUAGGCGGGAUGGCAAGUCGGUCGUGAAAUCCUUCGGCUCAACCGAAGAACGUCGAUCGAUACUGCUGUUCUUGAGGGUUGCAGAGGAGACUGGAAUUCCCGGUGUAGCGGUGAAAUGUGUAGAGAUCGGGAGGAACACCGGUGGCGAAGGCGGGUCUCUGGGCAAUCCCUGACGCUGAGGCGCGAAAGCGUGGGGAGCAAACGGG
rnacentral:rRNA from 1 species